UACAGAGACUGCGAGCGUUAUUCGGAUUCACUGGGCGUAAAGGGUGCGCAGGCGGCCAAGUGUGUGAGGCGUGAAAGCCCGGGGCUUAACCCCGGAAUUGCACCUCAAACUACAUGGCUAGAGUACUGGAGAGGGUAACGGAAUUCACGGUGUAGCAGUGAAAUGCGUAGAUAUCGUGAGGAACACCAGAGGCGAAGGCGGUUACCUGGACAGUUAUCUGACGCUCAGGCACGAAAGCGUGGGGAGCAAAAGGG
rnacentral:rRNA from 1 species